UCAAACUCAGUUCCUUCCAAAUUCAUGUUCAAACACCGACAAGUUCAAGAACCAGACAUAUUUUUCCCAUAAGAAAUAAUGGAAAACCAAAUAAUUGGUUCUGAGGCCCAACAGUUACACUUAUAAAUUCAUUUUUCCAGGACUUUAACAAGUUUCGCAGUGAUUUCUUUCUUUAACUCUAUCGUGGUUCCCACAGUUUUCCUCUUAGCUUUACCGCUGGUAUCAUAACUUUCCUUGGAGCCAGGGUUACGAUAUUCUACCCAAAUAAAGCACACACACAAAAAAGCCGAGUGUGGAAUGUCUUAACACCCCGACACAAGCCCUGUGUGCAUCUGAGCGAGAGCGUCACUCGCACUGAGGCAUCUCCCCUCUGUGGCGAGACGCAACCUGUGACUCACUCUCAGCCCCUGCAGGUUUUCUCAAGUCGGAUUUUCGUUUCAACUACAGAGCAAAGUCCUGAACACCCAGCAGGCUUUUUUCGAACUUUGCUGUUCAAGUACCAGAAAAGUUCGAGCUGGGAGCCAUUCAACAAGCAAGGUGUCACUUCGUAUGAUAAAUAUGAGAUAAAUGACAAGUGGUAUUACAGUGUUUUUCCGAACAAAGAUUUCUCCAGAAAUCAAACAUCCCCUCUUUCCUGCUUGGAAAACAGCAUGUACAGUAAAGGACAUGUGAUGAGCCUCACGUAAAUACAAGGCACAGGGCAGUGUGGAGGUCAGGUUCCUAGACGCAGAUGUUUUACCAUCUGUAUCCAGCACCAAACCAGGAAUCCGAGCGCAGCCAAGCAGCCUGACGACUCGCUUGUGAUUGCCCAGAAUUCUAGUAGGGGCCAUGGAGAAAGAAAAUGGAGCGUGACGUUAAUAACUCUGGCGAUGGAGUGUGUGAGGCCCCCUUAGGCCUCACGUCAGCCCUCAGAACACACUUCCGGUGUCACGCGUGCUGUUACUGUGGCCACCGCACAGGGGUUACAGGUAAGUGGCCCCACCUGCGUUUUAGGAGGUGUGUCCUGAGAUGACGCCGCACCUGAGUGUGGUCUGCCACAGCAGGCUGCAGAGGGGCUCCCGGCCUGGGAAGGACGACUUCCCAGGGAAGGUGAGGGAGCAGAGGCCUCGGAACCGCACAGGUGGAGUUUCAGUGCUGGGACCGCUGCUGACAAGCUGGGUGACCUCAGGCCAGUACUGAACCUUCCCAAGAAGCAUCCGGACAGCUCCCUUCAGCAGGGCUUUGUCCUAAGGCAGGCAGCACGGGCAGGGGCUGUCCACUCGGCACACUUCGCAGCACUUGGGAGUAACACUGGCAGCAAACAAGCCGUGCGGCACCAGCCCCCCCCCCCCCCCUCCCCGUCUGGCUCCUCUCGGCUGCACCAUCACGGGAGUCGAGGUGGGAAAAAGGAUGCGACAGCUUGCGCCCUGUGGAAUAAGCACAUCUCACCUCUGCUGCAGGCUGGGACUGCAAGGCAGGGAAGGGGCUGGGGACACUUGUGCACAGUUUUGAUGACCACUCCAGGAAGAGGAAACUGAAGGUUUGAGGGGUUAAGUCAUCUGGUCAGGGUCCACAGCCUGUCCCCCGGAGCAGGACUCUACCCGCGCACCGUGCCCUGGGAUCUGACAAGACAGCGUCUGCAGACCUUGACAGUGCACCAGGCCUUCAGGAUGGGGCAGGAAGGCCCUGCCAGCGUGGGGGUAAACGCGGACCCUGUUUGUCUCCUGGGAUUGCGACCGGGGAAGCCAGGUGGGCCUAGAGGUUUCUGUCAAGCGUCUCAUCAGUGUCUGGCGUUGGUAAGAGCGGGGGAUCAGGCCGGGUGUGCGCGUGCAGGAAGUGAUGAAUGCGGUGCUUCAGACCCGGGUGCAGCGUCAGGUGAUGCUGAGGGGCAGCCAAGUGGGGCCCGCUGGGAGGGAAGGGCUCUAUGCGCCUGGGCGUGCGCAGCAUGCCAGACAAGCUUCCUACUUCUCUCCUCCUUUUGGCGGAGGCAACCUAGGGAGACCCGUCCGGAAAGAAAGAGGAAAAAAAAAAGAGAGGGGUGGGAUGUAGUUCAGGGCAUAGGCCCUGGGUUCAAUCCCCAGGAAAAAAAAGGAAAGAAAAAGAAAAAAGAACCAUUCCAUGAACCAUUCCCCAAGCCUUUUUUUUCUGAUUUUCUAGAUCCCCGGUAGGGGCGGCCCUCCUUGGGUCCCGGAUGGGCUCGGUCCAGUUACCAGUUCCAGGAAAGCUCCCAGCCCAAAGGGUCCGAAAGGCCUGCUGGUCGCCCUGCUCGGCUGUUCCGCCUGGGGACUCGCGCGCCGCCGCCGCUUGGGCGGGCGCAGGAGCCUAGGAGAGCGCGGGGCCCGCACGCGGGGAGCCCGGAGCGCGCGGGACAGAGCCUCGUGGGCCUUGCAUGCUGGCCGGGGAGUCGCGCU
rnacentral:lncRNA from 1 species